AGCCUACGGGGGGCAGCAGUAGGGAAUUUUCGUCAAUGGGCGCAAGCCUGAACGAGCAAUGCCGCGUGAAGGAAGAAGGCUUUCGGGUUGUAAACUUCUUUUAACAGGGAAGAGCAGAAGACGGUACCUGUUGAAUAAGCCACGGCUAACUACGUGCCAGCAGCCGCGGUAAUACGUAGGUGGCAAGCGUUGUCCGGAUUUACUGGGUGUAAAGGGCGUGCAGCCGGGUUUAUAAGUCAGAUGUGAAAUCCCGCGGCUCAACCGCGGAACUGCAUUUGAAACUGUAGAUCUUGAGUACUGGAGAG
rnacentral:rRNA from 1 species